UCUUCUAAACCUUUGGUAUAGGUUCAAAUCCUAUUGGACGCA
rnacentral:tRNA from 1 species